rnacentral:tRNA from 1 species
UGGGUAACUAGCUCAGUUGGUAGAGCAUUUGCUUGACGUGCAAAAGGUCACUGGUUCGAGUCCAGUGUACCUAC